UUCUGGUUGAUCCUGCCNNACCCGACUGCUAUCGGAUUGGGAUUUAGCCAUGUUAGUUGUGCGUUCCUUGGCUACAGGGGACGCGGCGUACGGCUCAGUAACACGUAGUCAACCUGCCCUGGAGACGCGGACAAACCCGGGAAACUGGGGCCUAUCCGCGAUAGAUGGCCUCAUCUGGAAGGAGAGGCCGUCCAAAAGGGCGCACGGGUAUGCUCUGUGCGAACCGCUCCAGGAUGGGACUGCGGCCGAUCAGGCUGUUGGCGGGGCAAUGGCCCACCAAACCUGUAACCGGUACGGGCUUUGAGAGAAGGAGCCCGGAGAUGGACACUGAGACAAGGGUCCAGGCCCUACGGGGCGCAUNAGGNGCGAAAACUUCGCAAUGCGCGAAAGCGUGACGAGGCUAGUCCGAGUGCCGCCUGCUAAAGGUGGCUUUUCUCGGCUGUAAAUAGGCCGGGGAAUAAGGGGAGGGCAAGUCUGGUGUCAGCCNGCCGCGGUAAUACCAGCUCCUCGAGUGGUCGGUACGAUUAUUGGGCCUAAAGCACCCGUAGCCGGUUUCGUAAGUCCUCUGUUAAAUCCAGUCGCUCAACGACUGGCCUGCAGAGGAUACUGCGGGACUAGGAGGCGGGAGAGGCGGACGGUACUCCGCGUGUAGGGGUAAAAUCCUUUGAUCCGCGGAAGACCACCAGUGGCGAAGGCGGUCCGCCAGAACGCGCUCGACGGUGAGGGGUGAAAGCUGGGGGAGCGAACCGGAUUAGAUACCCGGGUAGUCCCAGCCGUAAACGAUGUGAGCUAGAUGAUUCGAUCGCAGUUCGCGAUCGAAGUGUCGCAGGGAAGCCGUUAAGCUCGCCGCCUGGGGAGUACGGUCGCAAGGCUGAA
rnacentral:rRNA from 1 species